rnacentral:lncRNA from 1 species
UCAAAACUCCCUUAGACUUUUUGUUUAAUGUGGCUUCUCCAACUCCUUUUCUUUUUUUAAAAUCUCUCUCAAGAAGACCUUAUAUUUAUAGCCUUUAGGGUGUACAAAACAAAUUCCUAAUAGGAAUACCAAACCUAAUCAAAUUGAAAAUCCUAUUCCAAUACCAAAUUCUAAAUCCUUAAUAUGGACUUAGAAAUCCAAAUAUGAAACAGAUUCCUUAGAGAAUCGGUUUUCAACAAUUCUCCACCACGACGAAGAUUCUUCAAUCUGAGUCGUUACCUUGAGAAAACGCCAAUCUCCAUAAACCCGAAUUUAAUUACGAAUGCGCCACCAUUAUAUGAAUUCAACCGGAUCUUCUAGGUCAUCAACAAAGUUCUUUGCUUUAUUCCACCCUUUCGGGUACCGAUCAACAAUGAUCAUGUAAGUCCAAGGAAAGGACUUACCCACCUUUGGAACCCACUUCUUUGUCAUACGAACUCUUUGAACUCCACCUAAUACAGAAUCUUCAUGAGAAUGUGCAUUCUCAAUCUUCAACUUAGAUGAUUCUAAGGUCCGACCGGUUACUGCUUCUCCCAACAGUACGUACAAGCCUCUACGUUGGCUUCCCUCCAUGACCAAAGUGUUUCCUCGAUAUACCUUCAUUACUCCACCAUAGAAAGAGUAAUUAUAACCAGCAAAAUCUAACUUAGAUAGACUAAUUAUAUUCCACUUUAACCUCGGCACGUGUUUUACAACCUGGAUUGAAUGAACAUUACCAUCAAACAUCCUUAAGUGAACAUCACCGACUCCCUUUAGUCGUAUACCCGAGCCAUCUCCUGUAAACACCUUCCCACGAUAAUCCUCAUACCGACUAAAAUAUGAGCGAUUAGCACACAUGUGCUCUGUGGCACAACUAUCUAGCAACCAUUCGUUUUGUGUAACCGACGUAGACAUCACAAAACAAAACUCUCCCUCGUCAUCGCUAGGGGCAACCGCUAGAUUUGCAUGAUGGGAACCUUUUGCCGAAUUAGUUCCAUCAUCUUCUGCCAAGCAAUCCUUUCUCAAGUGACCAGGACGACCACACUUAUAGUAAUUACCGGAAAAACGAUGCUUUUUCCCCUUUGUCUUCUUCCCAUGUGCUACCAAAGCUCCACCAGAAUCACUACUUGUACCUGUACCAUUCUUUGAGCGUGUUUCCCAAGAAAUCAAGGCACCUCUAACUUCUGAAAGAGUAACCUUUGAUUUACCAUAAAGUAGCGUUGUUGCCAAGUGCUUAUAUGACUGCGGAAGUGACCAUACCAACUGCAAAGCUUUAUCCUCGUCCUUAAUCUCUUCUCCCAGGGAUUCUAAACCAGAAACAAUCGAAUUGAAAGUUGACAAGUGAUCAGAAACCGAAGUACCUUCCUCCAUGUGCAAAAGAUGCAACUACUUCUUUAGAUGAAGCCGAUUUGUGAGCGUCUUUGCCAUGUACAAACUCUCCAACUUUUUCCAGAGUUCUUUUACCGUAGAAACUCCCUCUAAAGUAACGUUUGCUAGGAUGUUCUUCGCCAGACACAAUCGAAUUUGACUUGCUGCCUUCCGAUCUUUCUUCUUCCAUGCAUCAUCGAUCUUUUCUUCCAUCUCUGCAUUGUCUCCUAAGCUCUCUUGACCUUUUUUCGGUACAAGAGGAGGACCAUCAAGUGCAUCAUCCAAUUCGAGCAUCACCAAGUAAUCUCGAACUUGAAUUUUCCAUAAACCAAAGUUCAUGACUCCAUCGAACUUUUCAAUAUCAUACUUCGAAAACUUUAUUUCCGACAUCUUCUACAACCUAAAGCUCUUGAUACCAAUCGUUGGGAAUCGAAAAUAAAUCAAUAAACCCUAGUGCGGAAUAACCCAAGAUCUAGAAGAAACAAGUAAUGAUAAUAAGAAAAACGAAUCCAAUACACAAGAUAUACGUGGUAGAACCCUCACGGAGAAUAAACCACCACAAGCAAAACAAAGAACUUUAUUAUCUUCCACCAAAAGGAUUACAAGAUGAGAUCUCACACAACUCACUCUCACACCCUUUACAAGAAGAACACAAACCUAGAAAUCCCACAAUAAAGAUUGCUCCCAAGUUUCACAAGCCUCCAAACCUUAAAUCUCCAAGUUUUGAAUCUCUCAAAACUCCCUUAGACUUUUUGUUUAAUGUGGCUUCUUCAACUCCUUUUCUUUUUUUAAAAUCUCUCUCAAGAAGACCUUAUAUUUAUAGCCUUUAGGGGGUACAAAACAAAUUCCUAAUAGGAAUACCAAACCUAAUCAAAUUGAAAAUCCUAUUCCAAUACCAAAUUCUAAAUCCUUAAUAUGGACUUAGAAAUCCAAAUAUGAAACGGAUUCCUUAGAGAACCGGUUUCCAACAAAUUCCUCCACACAUGAUACAGUUCCACUAUUCACAGUCCUCUCUUUUAGAAUCUCCUUGCAUUAUGAAGUACAGACUGAAAU